GAACGGUUUGUCGGACAGUGUGAGGUGGGCGAGCGCCAUCUCCAUGGGCCGGUC
rnacentral:sRNA from 1 species